rnacentral:rRNA from 1 species
GCUUACGGCCACACCGCCUGGUACACGCUUGAUCUCGGAAGAUAAGAUAGGUUGGGCCUGGUUAGUACUUGGAUGGGAGACCGCCUGGGAAUACCAGGUGCUGUAAGCU